UUGACCUCGGAUCAGGUAGGGAUACCCGCUGA
rnacentral:ncRNA from 22 species